rnacentral:tRNA from 1 species
UCUCUGGUAGCUCAAUCGGUAGAGCGUAUGGCUGUUAACCAUAAUGUUACUGGUUCAAAUCCAGUCCAGGGAG